rnacentral:lncRNA from 1 species
GGUUUAGCAAAGUAGACAGCCCCGUUCUUUGGUAAACUGGAGACAUAGAGCUAGCCAAUAUCCCACACUCGGAAUGAAUAAAUAACUAUGCACAAUUAUGUUUCUUAUAGCUACGCGUGGUUUCUGGGUCGACUGAAAAGCUCCCAUUGGCUUUUCUAUUCAUCUUUAUAAUGGAUUUUCAAAAGUGCAUUAGACAAGGCUCCUAACCACUUUUGGAUCCUUUCUGUUUUGCUGCAACCAUAUUCCUUAAAUAAAUAAAUAAAUAAAUAAAUAAAACCCAUGCCCUCCUCGGAAAGCAGCCUAAAAGAAGGAGAAUAUAAAAUCCAAAGUCGGGAGAGUCAGAAAAGAAGAUGAAACUGUAACAGGCGCUUCAAGCUGAUCAGGAGAGUUUUAAAUGAUGUACAAACUACACGUUCCGUCUGCUGUCUGAAAGCGUCAUCCCAUACCUUAGGAGCUCCGGGGCCGUAGUCGGUUAGUUCAGACUUGAAGUGUGUUCUUUUGAUGUGGUGUGCUUGUUCUCAGCCUCGUGAAAAUCGACAACGCGAUGCUUCCCGAAACCCACUCCAUCUUUACGACAUUGUUCAUGCCUUAAGAAAUGCAAAGAUGUACAAUAAACUGUUUUCUAAAUGUGUGCUCAUAGGUGUAUGUGAAGGACAGAGUGCUGGCGUGAUUCACUUUCUUGGUCAGAAGGUUGAUUCAGCUGAUAGAAGGAUUAAAUGAGGGAAAAACACACUUUCCUUUGCUAAGUCAGUUCUGCUGUGGUGGAUCUGAGGGGCAAGAGGGCUAAGGUACUGUAUCCUAAGUUAGAUCUCUGUAUCCAGGUCGUUCUUUAAGUUCCUGUCCUAUGUCCAGAUAGUAAGCCAUCCCUCCUCCGUCUGACCUCACAGUGUGCCCUGGUAUUUGGCAAAAGUUGUAUCUGAUUUGGACGCCCGUCAUCAGUGUUAAACUUCAGUAGGAAGUAACAAAGCCCAGUUUCUGCCUGGGCUGGGUGGUACCACAAAGCACACAGGCCAUAGAACACAUCCCUGGCUCAUGCCCGCCACUCGACACUGUUGCGAUUCCAUGGAGAACGAAAGCUUAUUUGCAUUAUGUAAAUGGAUCCUAUGCAUAAUCAUGUUUCUUUUUUAAAAAAAAUCAAGCGGUUCCAUAUGAUACACGGUUACAUAUUAAGCAUCUACCUUGCUAAGGGCAGAUAUAUAAAACUUAGGCUUAAAAAAAAGUAAUCCAUUCCAAAGGUGGGGUCAGGCAAGGUUUGAUUUCAAUCCUUGAGGUUUUGUUUUUCCUCCACGGGUACACAGAGGCUUUUGUAGGAAGCUUGCAUUGGCGUUUUUAAGUUCUUGCAUGUACAUGACAAUAUAAACACCCGUAUGUUUUUUAAAAAAAAAUCUCUUAAGGGGGCUUCCUAGAGAAUUAGAAACUUAUAUAUAUUUUAUUGUUAGAGUUUUAUUCUUAGAUUCUUACCAUCUGAAUUUAAGUGUUACUUUAGACUCUGAUAACAAGGUUAGUGACAUUUUAUAUUUUGUUAAGAGGUAUCUAUCAAUCUCGGUGUUAUUUCUCCCCCCUCCCCGCCCCCGCAAAGUAUUCCUAAUAAUGGCUAACUCACCAUAAAACCCAAACCUUUUGUGAACAUGGAGGGAAAUCCAGAGUUUCCCCUAGAUGGAGCAAUAUUUUAGUUAUCCCCAAAUUCAUCUCCCCAUUCAUGUACACCAUGCACACAGCUGUUAGUCAUUCGAAUGAAACUUCGCUCUCCAAAGAGUUCCCGAAGUCAGAGCCAGAGCCAGGCUUCCGCUUACACGGCUUUCUCCAUGUGCUCCUGAGUCCUAGGUGACUCGCCCUGCAGUUGCAAAACCUUCCCCCGUGUCACGGACUACUUUUUUUCUCGGUUCAACCCGAUGCUGUUUUAUCAGUGCAUCUCUAGUUAUGUCUGAUUUUAUAUUGAGUUAGGACUUAAUUACAGUCCCGUGGACCUCCUCAUAAAAGCUGGUUCUCCUCCAACUGAGAAAGCUUACAGUACAAUUUAAAGUGGGUCUCGCCUGCACUUACUAGUGUCUGACGAAACAGUCUUACAUCUGCCUAAGUAAUAGAAGAGCCCUGCAGAAUAGAGAUGCCACAAGGAGGGACUGCGAAGGUGAGGUGAUCAAAACACAAUAGGAGAUGUCCAUUUAGUAAAGGACAGAAGGCCCAGGACACAGCAGGGAAGUAAAGACAGCUCCCAGGUUUGGAUUAACUGAGAAGAAAGGAGAAACAACAGAUGAAGCCUUUGUAGUCAGAUAGUAAGGUUAAGAUGACAAAUAAGAUAAGGUCAGAUCUACCCGGAAACUCUAAUAAGAAUUUCAGGAUGCAAACGAGAGAAGCAUGGGAUUAAUUACAAUCACAUUGUAUGGCAUCCUCCAUUUUGAAUCUGUUUGGAGAUUUUGGUUCCCCCGGGUGUGACCAUUAUGUUGUCAGGUCUCGUCUCAAUCACGUCAUCAGUUAGGCUUCAAAUUCCCCCACCCCCACCCCAGCACCCGACUCACCCAUCUCCAAUGGAACACUCACUUGUCUUGCUGAAAUGGCCUUGUCCUUUUUGUUCACACAGUGAUUAUAAAGAACUCUAUUGAAAUUUCAUUUACAUGACAUUUCAGCUAUUAAACCUAAAUGACAAGAGGGUGGAGUGGUAUAGCUUAUUCUCUUGAUAAAAAAUGUGAUGUAGCCCUUGGAAUUUUACAUAAACCACUAUAUUUGGGAGAUAGUGGUUUUCUGUCAAAGGGCCGUAGGAAGGCUUAGUAUGCCUGUGUUCUUUUCCAUGCUUUAUUUUCAAAGCUCCCUCCCCUCUGGCAAAAUUGUCCUGAGAGUGACAGUGACCCUGAGGGGUUUGCCAGACUGGGCUGACUGGUCAGUACCAACCUUUGCUGAGGCUCACCAAAAUUGGAUCAUUUUGAUGCUGAAUGCUGUUAACCAAGGUGUAAAUGUACUCUUCAGUGUUGCUGAUCUUUCUUAUUUUUUAAUUGUCAUUAUUUUUCUUGGGUUAUUUUAAAAUGAUGUCCAUGUUCUCUCCAGGUAGCUGUAAAAAAUAAAUAAAAUAAACUUCAUUUAAGAUACCUGUUAGUGCUACAUGUCAGUUGUAUGUGAUUGCAGGGUCAAAUGUCAUUCUUCUGCCUGAGGGAAACCAAGGAAAUUGUGGUACAGAGGCCACCAACUUGUCAACUUCCCAAAUCUUUUGUGCUCAAGCUCUUGAUUCUUCUGGCCUUGUGUUAUUCUGCAUUAGCACUUACCAGUCAUUAGAUCCUGUUCUAAUGGACUAGCAUGGAGCUCAGAGAGGGAGAGACGCUCUAGGAAGGAAACCCUGAUUAACGUGUUUAGUUUAGUAGUAAAGAACAUUUUUUGUUACUCUUCUGUGGGUUUAAUUAUCCAUCCUGUUUAAUGCUGUUCUCUGUCAUCCUAGAAAAUAAAGCGUUUGUGGGAGCAGAGCUCCGCCCAGCAGGGGGCAGAGCAGAUGUUUGCACUUGGCUCAGUAUGUUAUGAAUGUGGCACAGUAAAUAAAGUUUGUGUACAGAAUAUUAGUUUAUUUCUAUGAGAGCAAUUAUGUUCAGGAUAUAUAAAAAAUGUAUCUAAUUAAACCAUUACGGAUCUAUUUUGUGCUCUAGAAAUGUUCUUUUUUUUGGGUUGGGGGGAGUGUCUAUAGAGCUAAAAGUAAAAUGUUGAUGUGUUCUCAUGGGUUUGGUUUCGUCUCCCAAAUGCUCCGUGGCUUUUGGGAAAGACUCCAUAUCACCCCAGGAAUCUAUCUUAAUUGAGUUUGGUUUGUAAACACUUCUACUUUGAAAGUUGUGCAUUGUGUGGCUCCUUCUCUGAAACAGAAACUAGCUUUAUUAACAACAUCUUCAGUACCUCUUCUGCCUGUCACGGAGAUGUGGAACCUUUCUGCAGUGGCCGCUUUCAAAAAGAGAAUGGCAAAUUGCAUUGGAUGGGUUUGGCUUCAUUCUUCUAACCUGGGAUCUAAAGGAUGGAUAAAUGCUGUGAUGAAGUAACAUGCCCUACAUCCUAAGUAGAUCAGGCCCUUAGGACAGACAGACAGACAGACAGACAGACAGACAUCUGGCAGAUGCCUCGUCUGGAAGAGAAUUGGUGUUGUACUCUUGCAUUGGCUUUUCAAAACAACAAGCUUGUCUCUCUAUCCUCUGGUCCUUACAAGCAGAAGGGGAGAUGCUGCUGGGUACCAUGUCAUUGUCUGUGAAAUGGGCUGUCUUCAUGUGUAAUCUCAGUCAUUCGGUAUUAGAAACUGCUUCAUUCAUUUUCCUCAUGAACAGUAUUAAUUCUUCAUGAGUUAAAAGGUUCCUUAUAUACACAUAUUAUGAGUUAUUUUCCAAACUGAUAGAAAAAAAAAAGUUAACCAAAAGUUCUCAGUUUCCAUAAAUUUUGUUUCUAUCUGUACCUUCCUUUCCAAAAUGAGUUAAUUGUAAAGAAAAGGAUAUUAAAUUUUUGGUAAAAUAAAGUGGAAUCCUG